rnacentral:rRNA from 1 species
UACAGAGACUGCAAGCGUUAUUCGGAUUCACUGGGCGUAAAGAGCGCGCAGGCGGUCGUUCAAGUCAAGUGUGAAAGCCCCCGGCUCAACUGGGGAGGGUCACUCGAUACUGAUCGACUCGAAGGCAGGAGAGGGUAGUGGAAUUCCCGGUGUAGUGGUGAAAUGCGUAGAUAUCGGGAGGAACACCAGUGGCGAAGGCGACUACCUGGCCUGUUCUUGACGCUGAGGCGCGAAAGCUAGGGGAGCAAACGGG